AGCGAACGCUGGCGGCAGGCUUAACACAUGCAAGUCGAGCGGGCCCUUCGGGGUCAGCGGCAGACGGGUGAGUAACACGUGGGAACGUACCCUUUGGUUCGGAAUAACGCUGGGAAACUAGCGCUAAUACCGGAUACGCCCUUUUGGGGAAAGGCUUGCUGCCGAAGGAUCGGCCCGCGUCUGAUUAGCUAGUUGGUGGGGUAAUGGCCUACCAAGGCGACGAUCAGUAGCUGGUCUGAGAGGAUGAUCAGCCACACUGGGACUGAGACACGGCCCAGACUCCUACGGGAGGCAGCAGUGGGGAAUAUUGGACAAUGGGCGCAAGCCUGAUCCAACCAUGCCGCGUGAGUGAUGAAGGCCUUAGGGUUGUAAAGCUCUUUUGUCCGGGACGAUAAUGACGGUACCGGAAGAAUAAGCCCCGGCUAACUUCGUGCCAGCAGCCGCGGUAAUACGAAGGGGGCUAGCGUUGCUCGGAAUCACUGGGCGUAAAGGGCGCGUAGGCGGCCAUUCAAGUCGGGGGUGAAAGCCCGUGGCUCAACCACAGAAUUGCCUUCGAUACUGUUUGGCUUGAGUUUGGUAGAGGUUGGUGGAACUGCGAGUGUAGAGGUGAAAUUCGUAGAUAUUCGCAAGAACACC
rnacentral:rRNA from 1 species